GGACAGCUCAGUUCCACGCUGAGAUGCCAGCUCUGUUUCAGCUGUGGUGUCCCUGGGGCUGCUCCAAGGGGUGGCAACAGCUCCCAGGGCACUACAGGAUGCUGUGUGUGGAAACUGUGUCUGUGAGGAGCAGGACAGCUCUGCUCUGGCCAGGGUUUGCUGGCCCUGGAGCUGCAGCUCUGCACCUUGCUGACCUGCUUGCUUGGCUCUCAGAGGGGACCUGGGACACCUGUGCUGGAUGAAGCUCGGCCUGUGACUGGAACGUUUAGGAAAGCACAUGUAGGAAGUGAGCACAGCAGACUGUAAGGAGCAGACAUUUAUAGGACAACCUUUCAUAAUCACCAG
rnacentral:lncRNA from 1 species